AUUGAACGCUGGCGGCAUGCCUUACACAUGCAAGUCGAACGGUAACAGGUCUUCGGAUGCUGACGAGUGGCGAACGGGUGAGUAAUACAUCGGAACGUGCCCGAGAGUGGGGGAUAACGAAGCGAAAGCUUUGCUAAUACCGCAUACGAUCUCAGGAUGAAAGCAGGGGACCGCAAGGCCUUGUGCUCACGUAGCGGCCGCUGGCAGAUUAGGUAGUGGGUGGGAUAAAAGCUUACCAAGCCGACGAUCUGUAGCUGGUCUGAGAGGACGACCAGCCACACUGGGACUGAGACACGGCCCAGACUCCUACGGGAGGCAGCAGUGGGGAAUUUUGGACAAUGGGCGCAAGCCUGAUCCAGCCAUGCCGCGUGCAGGAUGAAGGCCUUCGGGUUGUAAACUGCUUUUGUACGGAACGAAAAGACUCCUUCUAAUAAAGGGGGUCCAUGACGGUACCGUAAGAAUAAGCACCGGCUAACUACGUGCCAGCAGCCGCCGUAAUAC
rnacentral:rRNA from 1 species